AACGAGUGGUGGAUGCCAGCGU
rnacentral:miRNA from 1 species